ACCAUGGAGAGUUUGAUCCUGGCUCAGGAUGAACGCUGGCGGUCGGCCUAACACAUGCAAGUCGAACGGGCCCUUUUGGGCUAGUGGCGGACGGGUGAGUAACGCGUGAGAACCUGCCCUCCAGAGGGGGAUAACAGUUGGAAACGACUGCUAAUACCCCAUAGGCCGCAAGGUGAAAGGAGCAAUCCGCUGGAGGAGGGGCUCGCGUCCCAUUAGCUAGUUGGUGGGGUAAUGGCCUAC
rnacentral:rRNA from 1 species